CCGAAGGGUCAGAAAUUUUUUAUCCCUGUUUUGCAGCCUCUAUUGGCUCAUUUGAAACAGACGUUUGGGUAGGUAUUCGGUGUUCAAAAUCUUCAAAGUUUAUGUCAAAAGAAAGAUAUAAGAGUCUAAUUUCAAACAAACUAGGUCCUGCUCAUAUCUGCAUUUCGUACUAAAAAUUAUAGCUGGAACCGUGUAUAGGGGUCAGUUUACCGAAAAAAUU
rnacentral:lncRNA from 1 species